GCCGCAUUAGCUCAGUUGGUUAGAGCGUCGGUCUAAUAAGCCGAAGGUCAAAAGUUCAACCCUUUUAUGCGGCA